CUGAUGCUUAUUUGUAUAAGCUCAGAGAAAUAGGGUUUAAACCCUCUCCUCUCUUUCUCUUUCUAGGUUUUUCUAUUUGGAAGUGAGGUUGGUGAUUUGAGCUCACUAUUUUUUUCCCUUCUCUUGUGUUAACUGGUUUAAAGACUUGAGGAUCAGCUCUUGGAACGUGGGAGAUAUGUUUUGCUGAGUUUUCUCAACCCUAACGCAGCUGGUAGUUGAAUUGAAGUGGUGAUGAGCUGGUUUCGGGGAUGCUUCCAGCAACUAUAGAAGCAAGUUUUUGCUGUAGUUCUUCAACUCUAAUCCAGGGGAAAAACUGAAGUGAAACUUUAAGAAGCGGUUUAGAUAUUCACUUUGAGCUGAAUAUUGGGGCUCUUGUGAGCUAGUUUGAGGUGUUUCAACUGGAGGUUGAGCUGAACUAAAUCUGUGGGAAGGUAGAUCGUGGCAGGCUUGCAGCGAACCAUUUGAUCUUUUUCGGGUGAAUUUUGGAAGCUUUCAAAGGUUGAAAUUGGUGUUCUACCCUAAAACGAAGUGGUGAUUCAAGUAUUAGCAUUAUACUAGGGUACUCGGAGGCUACGGAUUAUCCUUGUUCGUGGGGUCGACACGAGUCGUCGAUUACUUGAACUAAUUGGUCCAUUCACGAAUUUAUCAUUCUAUCCUCGUGGAUAACAUCAAGCCAAAUUGCAUAUGCAAGCUACUAAUAUCAUGAAUCCAUAGUACUUAACAGAGCCUUCCACAGCGGGAAAGGCUAGGGUUCUUGGCGAGGGAUCAGCGGCUAGCUAGAGCCUUCUCGAUGUUAAAUAGAUGAACCUCUACUAGUUUAAUUUGGGUUUAGUUCUGUGUUGUAUAUUGGACUUAUAUAAAAUAUACUUUACUUUUAAGUUGUAAUAAAGUUUUGUAUUGUAUAA